rnacentral:rRNA from 1 species
CAUAUCAAUAAGCGGAGGAAAAGAAACUAACAAGGAUUCCCCUAGUAACUGCGAGUGAAGCGGGAAGAGCUCAAAUUUAAAAUCUGGCGGUUUACCGUCCGAGUUGUAAUCUAGAGAAGUGUUUUCCGUGUUGGACCGUGUACAAGUUUCUUGGAACAGAACAUCAUAGAGGGUGAGAAUCCCGUCUUUGACACGGACUACCAAUGCUUUGUGAUGCACUCUCGAAGAGUCGCGUUGUUUGGGAAUGCAGCGCAAAAUGGGUGGUGAAUUCCAUCUAAAGCUAAAUAUUGGCGAGAGACCGAUAGCGAACAAGUACCGUGAGGGAAAGAUGAAAAGCACUUUGGAAAGAGAGUUAAACAGUACGUGAAAUUGUUGAAAGGGAAACGCUUGAAGUCAGUCGCGUCUUGCGGAACUCAGCCUUGCUUCUGCUUGGUGUAUUUUCUGUUUGACGGGCCAGCAUCAAUUUCGACCGUUGGAAAAAGUGUGAGGGAAUGUGGCAUCCUCGGAUGUGUUAUAGCCCUUGCUCGCAUACGACGGUUGGGAUUGAGGACCGCAGCACGCCUUUUUGGCCGGGGUUCGCCCACGUACGUGCUUAGGAUGCUGGCGUAAUGGCUUUAAACGACCCGUCUUGAAACACGGACCAAGGAGUCUAACAUGCCUGCGAGUGUUUGGGUGGAAAACCCAUGCGCGUAAUGAAAGUGAAAGUUGGGACCUCUGUCGUGGAGGGCACCGACGCCCGGUCUUGCGCCUCGGCAACGGAUCCGCGGUUGAGCAUGUAUGUUGGGACCCGAAAGAUGGUGAACUAUGCCUGAAUAGGGUGAAGCCAGAGGAAACUCUGGUGGAGGCUCGUAGCGAUUCUGACGUGCAAAUCGAUCGUCAAAUUUGGGUAUAGGGGCGAAAGACUAAUCGAACCAUCUAGUAGCUGGUCCU